AUUGAACGCUGGCGGCAGGCCUAACACAUGCAAGUCGAGCGGUAGAGAGAAGCUUGCUUCUCUUGAGAGCGGCGGACGGGUGAGUAAUGCCUAGGAAUCUGCCUGGUAGUGGGGGAUAACGUCCGGAAACGGACGCUAAUACCGCAUACGUCCUACGGGAGAAAGCAGGGGACCUUCGGGCCUUGCGCUAUCAGAUGAGCCUAGGUCGGAUUAGCUAGUUGGUGGGGUAAUGGCUCACCAAGGCGACGAUCCGUAACUGGUCUGAGAGGAUGAUCAGUCACACUGGAACUGAGACACGGUCCAGACUCCUACGGGAGGCAGCAGUGGGGAAUAUUGGACAAUGGGCGAAAGCCUGAUCCAGCCAUGCCGCGUGUGUGAAGAAGGUCUUCGGAUUGUAAAGCACUUUAAGUUGGGAGGAAGGGCAGUAAAUUAAUACUUUGCUGUUUUGACGUUACCGACAGAAUAAGCACC
rnacentral:rRNA from 1 species